GAUUCGCGUGGGCGGAGAGGGAGUCCACACCACGCCUGGAACCAACGCCGCCGGCUGGAAAAGCAGUGGCUCGCAUGCCUCUGAGGCCCGGUGGAAUCGAAUAUGGCAUCACAUCUGCCUCCGUACCUGAGCGCUCCCCCAGCCUGCAGUUCUCAUCCAAGAUCCCUGAUCUCAAGAUUUCCCCCAAAGUGAAUCAGUACUAAGAAAGUUACUUUAGUUGUGCGGUUGACAUAGCUGCAAGCAGUGGCUGCAAGAGUGAGUUAUCUGGUAGGUAGAUCCAGUUGCAAGUACCCUUGUGUUCUGUUUUUGGUUAGAUCAAUUGGCCGAACAUAGCUGAAAGAAGAUUCAAUUCAUGUGUAGUUUCGAGUGCGGACUCCAAAUCUCUGUUCCAGCCAGAUGGUAUGUAUCACAUUUUUUUUAUAAGUUACCACAUCGACCUGAUGUUUACGGAGCUACAAAUUCAAGUUGGAUUUAUACCAAUUAAAAAUGGCGUUUGCCUCUUGAUACAUGGUGAAAGCAUUUGGGCAUGUUCACUCAAUUACCACACGAGAUAUGUUCUAAUAUCUCACUGCAGAUCCCAGCUGUGUUGAUGCCUGAAAAAGAAAACUGCUAAAUGUGAUACAUAAUUUACCCUUUCUGUAGUUUAGGAAGAAUCAGAUGGGUCUCGGGAUUAGAGACUUUUUUUAUGCUUCGGGUUUAAAGUCUGCCUUGUGUUUGUGAGGGAUGAGUUGGGUGAUUGGAUUCAUCUUAAAUUCGUCCACUUGGUCUCAUUAGUAUUCAAUUUGAUUUUGAAAUAGGACCUUUCUUCUAAACAGAUAUAACGUGAUCGUUGAGCUAAUAUUAUGCAAAAGUGAUAUUACUUGACGCAAAAAUUAGGCUAUCACAUCCACCUCAAAGACUCGCAUCCACCACAUAGGCCACAGAGUCCGUGACCCUGGCUGCAUUCCAUCCUCAAUAGUAAGGCCAUAUUGGUAUGGAACGCUCGCAAACAUCUAGUUUCCUAGCCCAUCUUCAUUUCAGAUGCAAUACAUCAUGUAAUUUUGUUGUUUUAGUUGCUACUACCAAGAUAUUCAUGUAGUUGCAAAUUCAAGUACAGUUAUUUGAAUUGCAAUGAGGUGGACUGAGUACUCACCCUCGCCCAACCUUUCAGUUUUGGUUGAUUUUUUUUUGGUUAAUAUACCCUCAAACUAAGAGUAAUAUUUUAUAACAGAUUUUUUGACUGUUCAUUCAUAUCGGGCGUCCUCCAUUGUCUGAAUGAUAGACGUUGCAUGUAAUUGACUUGCGAGCAUAAAAUUGUCUUGAACACCGCUCGUACUGUUUGUUUUUUCAGCUAUAGCUUCUGUUGAGGAGGAAGAUGAACCCAUCAACAAGAUCAUUUCAAACGUUACAUGAGAUACAAUUCUUGGUAUGGACUCUGGAUCUGCUCUCCAUCCGCUAGUUAAUGCAGAUGCAGCAGGGCAGUUGGACAGCCAUAAGACUCCUCGUAGUUUUCGCCCGUUGAGUAAUAUUUGUCUCGGGUAGCUUCUUUAAAGGUCUCCAGACCAAGGAUUUCCUGCCCCUGUCGCUGGAGUCUCCUUCAUGUAUAUGGCGGCGAUGCUCUCUUCAUUUUUUCGGAUGCAAGGGGUGUUCCCUGGGAUUUCACUUCAAAAAAAGUAUGCAAGUAGAUUGAUAACAGUUUAUCAAUUAGAAGCCAAACAAAAGAUGGCAUUACAUCUACGAUGGAAUAAAGAUGGGCAUCUUGGUGGUUCGGCCAUGAUGUCGAUGGGUUGUCACAUAGGGAGUGUUUCAGCGUCGCAGGUGGGUUUUGUGACUUGUUUUGUGUGAUAGUUGUACCAAUAUGUAUGUUAAAUUUCAAACCGUGAGAUGUUCAAUAUUGUGUUUCAGUGGCAUA